GAAAGAAAACUUGAUAUCUUAAUUAAAGUUCAGGGAGAUAUCUUUAAAAUUAAAAGAGAAGAAGACAAUCUAAAUGAUGCUCUUUUUUGCCUUAUUUCAAUACAAUCAACUUACAAGAACAGAUUAUAUAAGAUUAUUCAAAUAUCGAAGUAUGUGGGAACAUAAUCUAAUUCAACAUUGUUUCAACACAUCUACAUACGCGAUCCACACACCUUGGUUCACGGCCAAUGCUACAAUAGUUAUUUCGACAAUCAAUGUCUCUUCUACAUUUAAAAUUUUUUUUAGCUGUUAUGAAAAAAGAGAAGAUAAGAAUAUAAUUGAAAUGAGACAAUAUAUUCGGUAAUAAGUAAAGAAUAAAAUUUUCAAAAGAUAAAAAUUGUCUUACAAUAAUCCAUGUCCGCUGAAAGAAAAAAUACAGAAAGAAAGACAAUCAUAACAACAAACUUGACAAUUUCACACAUGUUUUCUCUCUUUACAUGUAACAAAUAGCUUUAUCACUUUAUGAUGUAUAAAUAUCAUUAUGCUUCAAAAAAAUAUUAUAAAUAUCGUUAUCUCCUUACGUCAAUUAAACAGUUUUU
rnacentral:lncRNA from 1 species